rnacentral:rRNA from 1 species
AGCUAACCGCGGUAAUACGGAGGGUGCAAGCGUUAAUCGGAAUUACUGGGCGUAAAGCGCACGCAGGCGGUCUGUUAAGUCAGAUGUGAAAUCCCCGGGCUCAACCUGGGAACUGCAUCUGAUACUGGCAGGCUUGAGUCUCGUAGAGGGGGGUAGAAUUCCAGGUGUAGCGGUGAAAUGCGUAGAGAUCUGGAGGAAUACCGGUGGCGAAGGCGGCCCCCUGGACGAAGACUGACGCUCAGUUGG